UACGGAGGGAGCUAGCGUUGUCCGGAAUUAUUGGGCGUAAAGAGCUCGUAGGCGGCUUGUCGCGUCGGAUGUGAAAGCCCGGGGCUUAACUCCGGGUCUGCAUUCGAUACGGGCAGGCUAGAGUUCGGUAGGGGAGAUCGGAAUUCCUGGUGUAGCGGUGAAAUGCGCAGAUAUCAGGAGGAACACCGGUGGCGAAGGCGGAUCUCUGGGCCGAUACUGACGCUGAGGAGCGAAAGCGUGGGGAGCGAACAGG
rnacentral:rRNA from 1 species